rnacentral:rRNA from 1 species
CUCGUAGGCGGUUCGGCAAGUCGGAUGUGAAAUCUCCACGCUUAACGUGGAGGGGCCAUUCGAAACUGCCGUGACUCGAGUCCGGUAGGGGAGUUCGGAAUUCCCGGUGUAGCGGUGAAAUGCGCAGAUAUCGGGAGGAACACCAGUGGCGAAGGCGGAACUCUGGGCCGGAACUGACGCUGAGGAGCGAAAGCGUGGGGAGCGAACA